AUGAGAAACAUUAAGGGCUUCAUUUAUUUGUUUGUUUGCUUGUUGGGGGGGGGGGAAUUGGUUGGGUUUUUUUAAAGAUAUUUAAAGUACUCCAUUAGUAAGAGACUGAACAGUCCUCCAUAAGCCUGCUCUUAGUGAAACACUGCACUUACUUACUUUAAUCAAGGUAAUGAUUGUAAAUCCAUUUUAAGUAUAGAUGCCACACUGACAGAACACAGGGAGCAAAUUAAGCUACUACAGAGAAAAGGUAUUCAAGAGGCAGGUAAACAAACAAAAGUUAGUCAAUACAGACAUCCAAGAUGACUGUAUCACCUCAAUGGCUUUUGAUACUUUAGGCAUCAAAAUAAAACCCAACCCAAAAGCACAUCACUUCUUCUACAGAACAUCUGCUUCAUUCUUUGCAUAGGAUGGAUGUGCUUGUGUAAGAUGGUUGUGCACAUUAAAAGUGGCUACUCUCUGCAGGGCCUUACUCCUUCUUGUAGAAGUGUGGAAGGCACGUACUGCAUGUUCCUGAAAAUCUGAAAGUCUGCCUCCAAAACCUGGGUGUAGACAGGUCAAGAUAAAAAAAUAACAAGGUUGUGCCCAAAAUAAUUGGGAGAAAUACCACACAAAAAAAAAAAAAAAAGGUUACCAGGCUAGAGUGAGUACUUCAAGAGCGCUACUCUUUUGAGUUCUCUUCUAAUAGACAACCAGAGGUCCCUAACCAUGCCUGCAGAAUGGAAGGAGACUGCAGGAAAAGGAAGUCCAUUGUCAGAACUCAGAAUACAGCUCUCUGAGGGAGAUAAUACCAUAACUGCUCUAGAAAGUGCUGUAGAAAACAGUCUGACUGUGUUCAUUAGACUUGUGAUAAGGAACCUCCAGCCCACCUACCAGAGACAGACAAGGCUUUUAACCUGUCUAGACAGAAGGAAGCCUCACUCAACUGUACCAGCUCUUUGUUAAGGCUGUAAAGCAACACUGGCUCCAGCACAGCUAGCAGGGAGGCAUUCUUCCUGCCUGCCCUGCUGUUCCCAGGAAUGGGCAGAACUAUAUAGUGCUCCCCAGCACACCCUGAGCUACUGCUAUCACUCCCCCUGCUCACAGCUCUCCUACCCAGUAACAGAACAGGGAAGGUUUACAAGCCUCCAUCAAGAGGAGAUGGGGUAGGCCACACACUUCUUCCAGAAGCACAAAUGAUUUUGCCAAGGCCUCAACACUACUGCAGGAACAUGGUGCUGCAUCCUCUGUGUAAGUGCAUCUUC